AGAGUUUGAUCCUGGCUCAGGACGAACGCUGGCGGCGUGCCUAAUACAUGCAAGUCGAGCGGACCGAAGGGAGCUUGCUCCUUUAGGUUAGCGGCGGACGGGUGAGUAACACGUGGGCAACCUGCCCUGCAGACUGGGAUAACUUCGGGAAACCGGAGCUAAUACCGGAUAACACUGAAAACCGCAUGGUUUUCGGUUGAAAGGCGGCAUUAGCUGUCACUGCAGGAUGGGCCCGCGGCGCAUUAGCUAGUUGGUGAGGUAACGGCUCACCAAGGCGACGAUGCGUAGCCGACCUGAGAGGGUGACCGGCCACACUGGGACUGAGACACGGCCCAGACUCCUACGAGAGGCAGCAGUAGGGAAUCUUCCGCAAUGGACGAAAGUCUGACGGAGCAACGCCGCGUGAGCGAAGAAGGUCUUCGGAUCGUAAAGCUCUGUUGUCAGGGAAGAACAAGUACCGUUCGAACAGGGCGGUACCUUGACGGUACCUGACGAGGAAGCCACGGCUAACUACGUGCCAGCAGCCGCGGUAAUACGUAGGUGGCAAGCGUUGUCCGGAAUUAUUGGGCGUAAAGCGCGCGCAGGCGGUUCCUUAAGUCUGAUGUGAAAUCUCGCGGCUCAACCGCGAGCGGCCAUUGGAAACUGGGGAACUUGAGUGCAGGAGGGGGGAGCGGAAUUCCACGUGUAGCGGUGAAAUGCGUAGAGAUGUGGAGGAACACCAGUGGCGAAGGCGGCUCUCUGGCCUGUAACUGACGCUGAGGCGCGAAAGCGUGGGGAGCGAACAGGAUUAGAUACCCUGGUAGU
rnacentral:rRNA from 1 species